rnacentral:rRNA from 1 species
CCUACGGGAGGCAGCAGUGAGGAAUAUUGGUCAAUGGACGAGAGUCUGAACCAGCCAAGUAGCGUGAAGGAUGACUGCCCUAUGGGUUGUAAACUUCUUUUAUAUGGGAAUAAAACGUUCCACGUGUGGGAUUUUGUAUGUACCAUAUGAAUAAGGAUCGGCUAACUCCGUGCCAGCAGCCGCGGUAAUACGGAGGAUCCGAGCGUUAUCCGGAUUUAUUGGGUUUAAAGGGAGCGUAGGUGGAUUGUUAAGUCAGUUGCGAAAGUUUGCGGCUCAACCGUAAAAUUGCAGUUGAAACUGGCAGUCUUGAGUACAGUAGAGGUGGGCGGAAUUCGUGGUGUAGCGGUGAAAUGCUUAGAUAUCACGAAGAACUCCGAUUGCGAAGGCAGCUCACUGGACUGCAACUGACACUGAGGCUCGAAAGUGUGGGUAUCAAACAGGAUUAGAGACCCUUGUAGUC